AUUGAACGCUGGCGGCAUGCUUUACACAUGCAAGUCGGACGGCAGCGGGGUAGUGCUUACACUACUGCCGGCGAGUGGCGAACGGGUGAGUAAUAUAUUGGAACGUACCGAGUAAUGGGGGAUAACCAAUCGAAAGAUUGGCUAAUACCGCAUACGCUCUGAGGAGGAAAGCAGGGGACCUUCGGGCCUUGCGUUAUUCGAGCGGCCAAUAUCUGAUUAGCUAGUUGGUGGGGUAAAGGCCUACCAAGGCGACGAUCAGUAGCGGGUCUGAGAGGAUGAUCCGCCACACUGGGACUGAGACACGGCCCAGACUCCUACGGGAGGCAGCAGUGGGGAAUUUUGGACAAUGGGCGCAAGCCUGAUCCAGCCAUGCCGUGUGUCUGAAGAAGGCCUUCGGGUUGUAAAGGACUUUUGUUAGGGAAGAAAAAGGAGCGGUUAAUACCCGU
rnacentral:rRNA from 1 species